CCGGGAGCAGCGGUGGGCACCGUUUGAGCGGGUCACCUGCUGAAUGGCGGCGUAGCACACCGGCCAGAAGACGAGGCCCCACAGCCCAGUUGCCCGGCUGACCUGCGCGUGACUCAGCUCUGCACCGCACUUCUCCCGUGUGUGACAUACGGAUGGUGGCACUCUUUUCUACUCCUAUUGUUGUGAGGGUUGAUUUGCAGGUAAUAAGUGAGUCAAUACCGCAGAACUGUAUUAAUCGAUGUUGUCUGGACAGAAAAUGAAGACCAAGGAAACAGCUAUGCUCUUAAUGUUUUAAAAUCAGGAAGCGGAAUGGGAUCACCGAGUAAGUCACGCAUGUUCACAGCCUCGCCUGGUGUGAUCGCAUAUCACACACACAUCGUUCUCUAGUCAGGGGGGUACGGGGACAUUCGAAGUGGGCCUUGCCCUUGUGGAGACCUUUUUGUUUAAAGAAUAGCGUGGCAGAAGACCACACAGCAGCGGAUGACAGGAAACAUUCCCGCGCCUCCCCCGCCCUCACUCGCGUCCUUUGUUCUCUAAGGGCGUCUGGUUGUAACGAUCACUCUUAAGACUAGACUCCGAGGUGCGGAGCAGAAGGCAUAUCAUAUUUCAUUUAUUAUUUUGUCUGCUGUAAUUACUGCUCUCUUUUAUAUCAUGCCAUUGUAGGUUUUUUAAAUACUUUGUUUAUAAAAGAUGUGAAAGGAUGCUACAGAAAAUUUACUAGCUGACUGUAGACAUCUGAAAAGUAAAUGUUUUAACUCUGCAUUUAAUAAAAUUUUACCUUGGGAACCCAGACUUUUAUUAAGGCACGUUGUCUUAAAGAGAAAAAUGUACUAAAAAGACAGGCUUUAAAAGAUGAGUAUUAUUUUCACUUUUUACAUUAAUUGCAAUGGGUGUUUUUAAAAUGUCAUACUUUUGAAAGGCAUUUGAAGGACAUUCUCAAUUAUGAACAACAGUGAUGUAGAUUUUGAAGGUUUCAAAAUAGGUCCAUUAUUUCAAAUGUUUUCAACAUUUUGAUAGCUGGUUUGCUGUCUAUGUUAUUUAUGAAUGCAAUUCAAGUUUUUACCUAAUAUUAGGGGUUCUUAUAGUACCUUCCAGUGUUGCCUAGGCUGAUCCUUUGGGGAUUCUGAAAAUUUAUGUUUGAAGUGUUUUUUAAACCCUUUUUAUUAUGAAAAAUUUUGAACAUGUACAAAAGUAGAGCAAAUAGUAUGAUGAACCCCCAUGUUAUGUUUGAACUUUAAAUGUUAUAUUAGUGCUAUUAAUGCAACAGAUGUUCAGGAACUCAAAAAAUGCUCAUGGCUUAAUGUACACUUGAAAGAAUUUGCGGAGAUCAAAUUUUUAAAAAUAUCUAACCAUUUCCCAACCUCUGACAGACUGUAUCUCAAAUCUGUGGUGGUCUGCCAAUUUUUGGACCUACAAUUGUGUUUCUAAUAGAAAUACUCUUAACAUGACUGUUAGCUUUUGUGGCCAAUUCUCAGUAACUUAUUACAGUCCACAGUUAAGGGAAACCCAUGUACCACUUAAAACAUCAUUUCAAUGAGAAAAUCUCUCCUUUGCAAUUGGAAAACCAGGGUAACAGCCACCACCCAUCUUCUUCCAAAUUUCAGGGACAGGCGAGUGGAUCGUUCGGCUCUCCUAUGACAGAGAUGCAGGGCCAUGUGGGUCCUUAAUUUUCCCAGUGAAACUAGCAGGAGCUCAGAGAGGACAGUAAGGGGAUGUACUCUGUACAUACCAUUCUGAGCUAUUUAUCAUUUCCCUCUGCUUGUGGAGUUUGUUUUUGUGUUUUUCUUUAAAAGGCCUUUUUAUUUUAAAAAAUUAAGGAAAAAGGAAACCUCCUUUAUAAAACAAAUACUCUGUCAUAUCUUAAGUUUACAUCUCAUAGACUUUUAGAAGUAGAUUCUGAUUAUUUUCUUUGAGCAUGACAUAGGAGGAACAUUAUCUUCAUGGCUGAGAUAUGCCCAGAACGACAAAGCAACCCCUGACUACUAGAGCAUGAAAUUGGAACAUAAACAUGAAUACUAGAUCUCCAAUAAGCUGAAACCAGGUUGCUGGAAUAGUGUUUCAAGUGAACCCGUCAGUUGCAUCGACCUUUCAGAGAGCCGAGGAAUGGCCAGUGAGAGCAGAGAGAAUGUGUGUGCAAGGGGUGACUUGACAGCAGGCUCCAAAGCCAGCUGCCCUCGCUGUCCAGGGAGAGGAAUGCCAGCACCCUAUGACAGAAGAAGCACAUGUACUUUGUGAUGAGUGAGUGCACCG